GCUCAUGUGGCGGAAUUGGUAGACGCGCUAGAUUCAGGUUCUAGUGGGGAAUACCCGUGGAGGUUCGAGUCCUCUCGUGAGCACCA
rnacentral:tRNA from 1 species